AGCCUUUUCUGAUCGUAUCCCUCCCUUCUCUCUCUCUCUCUCUGUUAUUACUCCACCAGUUUACAUGGCAGAGCUUCUCUCUCUCUCUGUUUCACUUUCUACCUGUAACUGAGCAAGUUUGAGAGAGAGAUUACUGAGUAACGAGAAUGGAAAAUGAGUAAUAGUAGUUGAAUAAUGUAGUAUUUGAGUAAUGAAAGCAAGUGAGUGAGAUCCAGCUCCUUCUCGUGAUCUCAUCUAAUCGACCCAACCUAAGCGCUAUUUCCGUCUUUAACGCCUCGGUUACUCCAACCAACUUACUAUUCUACUCUUUUUCUCCUUUUUAUUCUCCAUCUCUGUCAUUGUAGGAUUUUAAUUGAGUUGUCAUUGGUAUUUUUUGAACACUAAGAGAUUGAUUGAUCCGAAGACUAGGAUUUGUUUGUUUGGUUUCAGAUAUACAUCUGUCUUCAAUGCUGAAAAGCCUUAUUUUCGAACACGGGCUUGUUUGCUGGAUUAAUUAAUCGUAGUGGGUAUCUUGCUCGGAGAUUGAAGUUGAUAAUUCGAGAAUGUUGACUUGUAUAGCAUGUUCAAAGCAGCUCAACACUGGAUCUCUACGUGAACCAGAAGAAGAUGACACGGCUGCUACACCCAGCAAAAAGCAAGCCAUUAAAGCCCUUACUGCUCAGAUCAAGGAUAUGGCUGCUAAAGCUUCAGGUGCAUAUAAGAACUGUAAGCCAUGUU